rnacentral:lncRNA from 1 species
CAAAGUACUACUGCUAUGUUCAUAUUUUUUUUUGGUACUGCUCCUAUUUUUUGCCUUUGUUUUGCUGAGGUUCUUUUCCAACCACCUCAAGAACAACUACAUGUUGCUUUGCAUUCAAAUUGAAUUUGUGCCUAUGCAUGAACAUCGACAUCUCAGAGCUCUUGAUUUAUCAAAAUUAUCUUUUAAUCUUUCCCUUUUCUCAUCCAUCCUCCAUAGACGAUAUUCGGGUCUAUCAAGCCCAAGAACCACUGCGACGUGAUUUUAGCAUUUCAUGUGAGUCCAUUUGAAUAUUCUUUUCUCCUCUGGCUCGAUAUGUCAAUAAAAAUACAUGCAUGGACCUGUAGUUUGGAAAUUUCAAAAUUUUCAAUUUGACUUUCGAAAUGUUUCAACUGCGUGUUUUAUUUCAUGAGUGACUUCAUUUUGUGAAUAUAAUUUUAGAUACUUCGUUAUGUAACACGAGUCAUAUCGUCGGAACAAUUGCAUCAUAUAAAAAUAACUUUCUUUACGUCAUUAUUGUAACCUUUUAUUCCUUACAUUUUUCUUAGAGUUACAUUUCUAAGACAUACCAGAUGUUUGAGAAAAUGUCAAAAUAAGAAAGUAUUUGAGUAUCUAACUUCUCUUAUAUAAUUUACAGUAAAAUAGGAAAGCUUUUAACAUUUGAGAAUAUGAUAAAUGAAGAAAACAUUCACAAAGCUAAAUGUUGUAAUUGAUCUUCAUUUUCCUUGAAAAGGUUUAAUUUCUUUCUGCCAAACAUCAGUCGAUUAAUUUGCAUUACUUUAAUUUGAUUGCAUGUUCUGAUUUCUGAUUAUUGCUUGUAAAUUAUGUACUAUGAUAAAUGGUUAUAGUUUGUCUAAAGCUUAACAUUCUGACAAAUUUCUAGCAAUGAGAAUAGUUAUAAAGAAAGCUCAAAAUUAAGCUUAAAGAAUCCUAGCUACAUAUAUAUUAUGUGCGACACAAAAUCGACAAAUAUACUUACCCUUCGAUAGUGAUUCUGCAUCAUCUUUGAAACUUAAACAUGGUACUUUCUAAACCGGGAGCAAAACAAAAAUAUGGAUGAUUAUGAGACAUUGAAGAGGUAGGAAUUUAGUUAUUUCUGAAUGUUACUUAUCCCUACUCCUUCCCAUUUGUCUUUCUAUCGUCUAACAAUCCUAUAUUGUGCUAUUUUUUUUUAAUAUCGGAGUUAAAAUAAUGUUUACCUUGCAGGUGCUAUAUAAUGCUGAUAGGUAGAGUUUUGUUAUUCCUUUACUUCCAACAUGUACCAUUCAUUAUGAUUUUUGGUAAUAUUAGAGUAAAAUGCCCGCCUUGCUGAUAAUGUUGCAUGUGUGAUAAUAUUGAUAGGCUGGGAUAUGUUCCUGUUAAUGAUAUGGUUUGAAACAUGUAUAAUAUUUUUGCAUAGGGACUUCACUUGCAGUCUGAUAUUGUUAGUAUUACUUUUCCGAUUCUGCAUAUCUUGUGGUUUCUUGAAUGGAAAAAAGUGAUAACUAAGGUGAUGACUGUCGGUAGUUUUCAAUUUCUCUUUAUGACAUGCAUUUUUUCCCUUUCUUUGGAAUGAAAUACUAGACUUGAAAUUCUUUGAAUUUCUUCUUCAUUGAACUUCAAACCAAAUCAUGUAAUUCUUGGCUUCUUUAAUUUGCAACUCAACUUAUGCCACACGUGUAUUAUUUUUCAGACGUGAAUAUUUUAUGAGGAAUUUAGCCUACCAAGAUUCACUACAUCAAUGACCUCUUCCUAUGUGAGUUCUAGAAACUUAUAAUUUUUCCCAUCCAAAAAGUGGCUGCGGAUUUUUGUGCUUUCGAAAGUUGUUCCUCCUUUAAGAUAACCUUCUCCUUUAAGUAUGGCUUUCAAUACAUUUAGAAUCUACAAUGAUCCUUGAUAAUAAAACUUACAUCUAUAUUAAUGUCUUUGACGAUAAGAUCAUAGAAGAACCAUACAACAACUUAAUGUGAGAAAAGUCGAUAAAAGUAAUACAAUAUGUGUUCGACUCUCUUUUUUGUAAUAAUUGUUACAUGAGAAAGAUAUACUCCAACAUUAAAUAUUAAUUGAUGAAAAAAGGUGAUAGCAAUAUACUCUGGAUGAGAAAACUAUUUCUUCUUAAUUUCUUCAUUUUUCAUCCACAUUCCAAGAAUGUCCUACUAUCAACUGAUGGAUUUAAAUUACAUAGCCCGUUGUAAAGGUUAAGACAUUAGUUUUAAAGUUAUUGAAGUUAGUUUUUUGUUAACUUAAUUGUGCAAAUUUAUUUUUCUAUGCACAGGACAAUUCAAUACAUAGGAGAUGAAGGAAAAAAAGAGUGUUAUGGAAGAACGUCGGAGAGCCUCAGGUGGGAUUGACAUAAUUCAUAAGUCAUCUCUGUUGUUUCUUGACAAACUUAUACAUGGUCUUUAUUAUCAAUUGUUUUUAUCAUUGUUGAAACAAUGAAAGAUGUUUCUAAAAGUUGUAGCAUAGUCCUCAUGAUCGACCUUCCACAAACAAGUUGCACAUGGCUGGUCUAUGAGGUACACAAUUCGUUUUUCUUGAUGCAAUAGCUGGGAGAAUUGUAGUAGCC